rnacentral:misc_RNA from 1 species
GAAAAAAGAAAUAAAAUGCCGAGCCUAUAAACUUCGAAUUGUAAUUCCGCCCCUGUUUUCAGAAUUCAGAUAUUCUUUCAAUCAUCCCAUAUGGAGUUCACUCGUUGAAUACUUUGGUGAUUAACUUGUUGCUGUUCGAAACUCAUUUCUUGUUGGUGCUGAUGCAUUUCAUGUAAAUUCCUGUGUCUCAUUCCUCCUAUCCCAAGAAAAUCAAGAGUCAAGCUCUCCUCAUUACUAUGGCCAGCUUCUUUAUUCAAUGUCCUCUGCUUUUCAUUAAACAAACCAGUAUUACUGUUAUUAUUAUUAUUAU